CGUGAGAUGUUGGGUUAAGUCCCGCAACGAGCGCAACCCUUAUCCCUAGUUGCUACGCAAGGGCACUCUAGGGAGACUGCCGGUGACAAACCGGAGGAAGGUGGGGAUGACGUCAAGUCCUCAUGGCCCUUAUGUGUAGGGCUUCACACGUCAUACAAUGGUCGGUACAGAGGGUCGCCAACCCGCGAGGGGGAGCCAAUCCCGCAAAACCGAUCGUAGUCCGGAUUGCAGUCUGCAACUCGACUGCA
rnacentral:rRNA from 1 species